rnacentral:rRNA from 1 species
GAUGUUGGGUUAAGUCCCGCAACGAGCGCAACCCUUGUCUUUAGUUGCCAUCAUUAAGUUGGGCACUCUAGAGAGACUGCCAGGGAUAACCUGGAGGAAGGUGGGGAUGACGUCAAAUCAUCAUGCCCCUUAUGCUUAGGGCUACACACGUGCUACAAUGGGUAGUACAGAGGGUUGCCAAGCCGUAAGGUGGAGCUAAUCCCUUAAAGCUACUCUCAGUUCGGAUUGUAGGCUGAAACUCGCCUACAUGAAGCUGGAGUUACUAGUAAUCGCAGAUCAGAAUGCUGCGGUGAAUGCGUUCCCGGGUCUUGUACACACCGCCCGUCACACCCCGGGAGUUGGAGACGCCCGAAGCCGAUUAUCUAACCUUUUGGAAGAAGUCGUCGAAGGUGGAAUCAAUAACUGGGGUGAAGUCGUAACAAGGUAGCCGUAUCGGAAGGUGCGGCUGGAUCACCUCCUUUCUAAGGA